rnacentral:lncRNA from 1 species
CUGGGUGGCCUCAAUAGCAGACACUUAUGCUCUCACAGUUGUGCCCCUAACACAGGAGAAGCUAGAUACCUCUGGUGUUUCAGCUUAACGCUUACAGCUAAUUGCAGUCAUUCAGGUUUUACAGCUCACAGCCUCAGAUCCUAUUAACUUUGUCUGUGAUUCAGCUUAUGUUGUAAAUGUAGCCAGUCGCAUAGAAACUGCCACAAUUAAAAGUACACUAGACCCAGAACUGCUUAAUUAGUUAAUUAAUUAAUUUAUUUUUGAGAUGGAGUUUUGCUCUGUUGCCUAGGAUAUAGUGCAGUGGCACAAUCUCAGCUCACUGCAAGCUCCGCCUCCCGGGUUCACGCAAUUCUUCUGCCUCAACCUCCCGAGUAGCUGGGACUACAGGCGCCCGCCACCACGCCCGGCUAAUUUUUUGUAUUUUUAGUACAGAAGGGGUUUCACCAUGUUAGCCAGGAUGGUCUCGAUCUCCUGACCUCAUGAUCCACCUGCCUCGGCCUCCCAAAGUGCUGGGAUUACAGGCGUAAGCCACUGCACCCGGCCUAGAAUAGAUUUUAAAAGAUUUCUUUCAUAAAUUUUAGAAACCUAAAGAGGUGAUUUGUGAAAGAAACCAGAUUUUCAUUAGUUUACAAAUAUUUACAAAAUACUAUGUACUACUCGGUGUCUUCUUUACUGGAUUAUAAAUGUAGAAACAUGGAAAGUAAACACAGGACCUGUCAUGGUCCAUGUUCAAGGACAUUUGGGCCAGAAAUAGAUACACUGAUGGAAAACAGGGCCACGGGAGGUGGGAGAGAAUUUAAACGUGUAAUUUGAACAUUAAACAGCCAGGAACUUCCAGAAAAUUCUCUUGUGCUGCCAUGACCAGUAUCAAAGAACUUUACAAGGCUGAGGAGAGCCCACCAAAUGUUUUAAGUGUUUUGAGUCUAAAAUCUGGGUAUUAAAGCUUGGGCCAAGUGGGAGAAAAAGCAAUCUUAGGAAAAGAAAGUGCUAAGUCUGGUCCCUGGAGUUUAAGGCUUGUGUAAUGACAGGCAAGAAUAAGGUGAUUAGGCCCGGUGCGGUGACUCACGCCUGUAAU